rnacentral:rRNA from 1 species
AACGGCCAUACCAUGCUGAAUAUAUCGGUUCUCGUUAGAUCACCGAAGUCAAGCAUCAUUGGGCCCGGUCAGUACUUGGGUGGGUGACCACCUGAGAACACCGCGUGCCGUU